CCUACGGGUGGCUGCAGUGGGGAAUAUUGCACAAUGGGGGCAACCCUGAUGCAGCGACGCCGCGUGAGUGAAGAAGUAAUUCGUUAUGUAAAGCUCUAUCAGCAGGGAAGAAAAUGACGGUACCUGAGUAAGAAGCCCCGGCGAACUACGUGCCAGCAGCCGCAGUAAUACGUAGGGGGCAAGCGUUAUCCGGAUUUACGGGGUGUAAAGGGAGCGUAGACGGCUGUGCAAGUCUGGAGUGAAAGGCGGGGGGCCAACCCCCGGAGUGCUCUGGAAACUGUACGGCUGGAGUGCAGGAGAGGUAAGUGGAAUUCGUGGUGUAGCGGUGAAAUGCGUAGAUAUUAGGAGGAACACCAGUGGCGAAGGCGGCUUACUGGACUGUAACUGACGUUGAGGCACGAAAGCGUGGGGAGCAAACAGGAGUAGAUACCCGGGUAGUC
rnacentral:rRNA from 1 species